rnacentral:rRNA from 1 species
UACAGAGACUGCGAGCGUUAUUCGGAUUUACUGGGCGUAAAGCGCACGUAGGCGGACUAUUAAGUCAGGGGUGAAAUCCCGGGGCUCAACCCCGGAACUGCCUUUGAUACUGGUAGUCUUGAGUUCGAGAGAGGUGAGUGGAAUUCCGAGUGUAGAGGUGAAAUUCGUAGAUAUUCGGAGGAACACCAGUGGCGAAGGCGGCUCACUGGCUCGAUACUGACGCUGAGGUGCGAAAGCGUGGGGAGCAAACAGG